GUCCUAGCCCUAAACGAUGCUCAUUAGGUGUGGGAGGUAUCGACCCCUUCCGCGCCGUAGCUAACGCAUUAAAUGAGCCGCCUGGGGAGUACGGCCGCAAGGUUGAAACUCAAAGGAAUUGACGGGGGCCCCGCACAAGCGGUGGAGCAUGUGGUUUAAUUCGACGCAACGCGAAGAACCUUACCUGGGCUUGAACUACUGGUAGUAAGCUUUUGGAAACAUUAGCUGAUCCGCAAGGAAGCCAGCAGAGGUGCUGCAUGGUUGUCGU
rnacentral:rRNA from 1 species